rnacentral:tRNA from 1 species
GCCUGUGAUCAAAGGAAAAUACCCCCUCGUAAUGCGUAGGUCUCGGGUUCGAAUCCCGAAGGCGGCUCCA